UUGUCUGUCUCUUUUUGGAAGAGAGAAUCUGAUGUAGUAUUCUUUUUGAUUCUCGUUGCAAUGGCGGAUGGUGGUACGUUGGGAUUGGAGGGUGUGAGAUUAGCCUCUUCAUCAAUACUUUCAACUCUAACAAUGAAAUCUUCCUUCGCGAACUUAUCAACAAUGAAAUCUUCAUUUCAUUUCAUUGCAUGCUUAUAGUCAUCGUGGGAUGUGUGUGUUUUAGAUUUGGUGAAGGAGGCAUUGCAGAAAGGUGUUGGCUUCUACUCCGCUUUCUUGGUUGCUGACAAGCUUAUCGUCACCACUUAGCACAACAACCAUGACGAAAAACUCAGAAGGGGAACCAAAAUCACCCUCUUCCUCAAGGACGAUCAGUUGGAGUACUUGGAAGAGACGAGGAUCAAGGAUCUUGUGAAGAAACACUCCCAAUUCAUUACCCAUCCCAUUUACCUGUGGACUGAGAAGACAACAGAGAAGGAAAUUAGUGAUGAUGAGCCUAAGAAGGAAGGAAAUGUUGAGGAUGAUGAUGUGGCUAAGGAGAAAGAUUCUAAGAAGAAGAUCAAGGAUGUUUCUCAUGAGUGGCAACUCAUUAAUAUUUGGUUGCGUAAGCCCGAGGAGACUACCAAGGAGGAGGAAUCUGCUUCCUUCUGCUCUCAGGAUCUCUCAUUGUCCACCGGGUUACAAUUGCAAGCAGAGAUGGAGACAAAAUUUGUUGCUGCGACAAGUGAAAAGCUUAGGAACCACAUACCUGAUGAUCUUGCAUUCUCUAUUCUGUCAAAAUUGUCUCAAGAGGUUUUCAUUGCAAGCGGAGAUGGAAAAGAUAUCUGUGGGUGUGGCGAGUGAAAAGCUUUGGAAUCACAUACCUGAUGAUCUUACAUUCUCCAUUAUGUCAAAAAUGCCUUUGAAAUCUCUGAAGAGAUUUGGAUGCAUAAGCAAAUCAUAGAUGAAAUUGGCAUUGAAUUCCAGGUCUAAUAGAUUAAGCAGCUGCUCCAAGAGCUACACCACCCUUGAGCCUAGAUUUAUCAUACAGGGUUUCUUAACCGGAUGAUCUCAUUCUUGGAUCCAUAAGCAACUUGAGUUAUCUCAUCAAUGUUAGUGAUGACUUUAUCUAGCACAGACUGAUGAACAUCACUGUUGUAACCUUCAGCUUUUUCAAUCAAGAACCUCAAAGGAGCUAACCUCAAACAACAAUCUCAGCUUGGCUUUGGCUGAUGGUGAUGUCACGUUGGUGAAGAUAUCUUUUUCUUUUACAAUAAUCUGGCACACAUGACACUUUGAAAGCAUAUAAUAUUAUUAUCCUAACAUAGGUUGAUAGUGAACUUCAAACUACAUGUCUCGUUAAUAUAUAAAAAACAAGACCGUAUUAAAAUGUUAUGUAUGAAGAAAAGGAUCUGGUUAACAUCUGGCACCAUUCAUCCAGUGUAUCUCAAUGUGUACUUUUCUCUAGCAUAGUAAUUGAUCAACUAUUGGAUGACAAAGAAAGAUGUAAGUAUUUAUUGAUACACUAAAAAAUCUUCCUUUACUAUUUUUAUGUUGAGUGGUCUGGAAAGUCAUUGACAAGUUCCAUUUUAAAUAAGCAUAGGGGGUAAUGUGUGACUACUUGCUUCCUAGAUUCUAAUAGAUCUUAUGUGAUCUUCAUCAAUCAGAAGAAAUUCAUGGGUGCCAGGGAAGUCUUUCAGAGCAAGCACAUUUGUUGUUCUAGGACCCAUAACCCCCAUGGCUGCAGCAACAUGAUCUCUUCCAGUGACCACAGCCAACUUAUUUCCAGGCUACACACCAAAGAUGGUGCCUACUGUGAAAUUUGUGUCCACAAUGCUGAAGCCAUCAAGGGGAUCAAAUGCAACAAUGAAUCCACCUGUUUGUUGCAUAUUCCAACAAAUGCAAAAGUGACAUUUUGCAUUAGAGAGAGAUUCAAUUUAAUUGCCAGAUUAGCAGACCUUCAACUGGACAUCCCAUGUCCAGGAACUCAGGAUUUUCUUCAGAGCAAGCAUACUUGCAGGAAUAACACUAAUUUAAUGCCUAUGCGUAGACAUUAGAGUUGCGAGUUUCAUUCCACAUUGAAAAUAAGAUGGCAUAUUUUUAUGAAUUAAUACAGGCAUAUUUUAUCAUUGCUUUUUAGCUAUCUACGGUUAAAAUUUGUGCUCUUUAAUGUUAAAAUCUGUUUUAUUUGUACGAAUUUGACAAGCGUGGAUGCCAAAUUGCUGCUAUCAUAAUUUGUUCUGUAUGAAAUUUCAAUCAGUUUUAUGUUCAUGUCUUGUUCUAGUUUAUAUAUUUGUUUUCAUUCAUUUUGAAAGAAUAAUACUAUAUGCUCUUAGCUUAGCUAAGCCUGUUACAAAAUGUUAAUUUGUUAUGUAUUUUUCUCUGUAGAGUACUGGUAUAUCCUUAGCAUAGGCCAAAAGAUUCACAAAAUUUGGGGAAAAGGAAAGGGCAUAUUGAGAAAAAUGUGGUAAGGGCUGGAAAUUAGGGCAACUGAUUCUACAGUCUUCCAUCUCUCAACCAUCCGAGAAUUGAUAAAAAUGUGAUUGGUUCUUUUUGUGUGUUCGUCUUCUUCUGGAAUUCUUUCUGCCUUUUAGUUGGUGAGUACAUUUAUGUCCCUUUCUCGCUCACACUCUCUC